AUUGAACGCUGGCGGCAGGCUUAACACAUGCAAGUCGAGCGAGCGGCGGACGGGUGAGUAAUGACUGGGCAUCUGCCUGAUGGAGGGGGUUCACUAACGGAAACGGUAGCUAAUAACGCAUACACUAAGCUGUGCCCAGAUGGGUUUAGCUAGUAGGUAGGGUAAUGCCUUACCUAGGCGACGAUCCCUAGCUGGUAUGAGAGGAUGACCAGCCACACUGGAACUGAGACACGGUCCAGACUCCUACGUGAUGCAGCAGUGGGGAAUAUUGCACAAUGGGCGCAAGCCUGAUGCAGCCAUGCCGCGUGUGUGAAGAAGGCCUUCGGGUUGUAAAGCACUUUCAGCGGGGAGGCGUUACUCACAGAAGAAGCACCGGCUAACUCCGUGCCAGCAGCCGCGGUAAUUC
rnacentral:rRNA from 1 species